GGCUAGGAUAAUUCAUAAGAUGAAUUUGAAAGAUUGAAAUACAAUAUGAUCGACUAAAUUAGGGUUAAUAGUUAAAUUCUAAGUCAUCUUGAGCAUUUGGGUCAAAGGGAUAAAUUAUACGGUAACCAUAUGCCAGUAGAUUCUAGAAGGUUGCUUUGCAAUACUUUGACAUAUCCAAUCAUCGGGUCACCAUUGCUAGAUGGUUAUAUUGAUUG
rnacentral:lncRNA from 1 species